AUAAUGAAGAAAUUAGCUUGUUAACCCUUGCAGGGUCUUAUUGGAAUAAGUAAAUAACUAGACCCCACAGUCUUAUAAUGCAAGGUGUUAAAUCUACUACAAAGAUAACACUGGGAGUGACUUUCAGACUGCUAUUUACAGAAGUUUAUAAGAUGCUGGAUAGAUGUUAAUUUAAUGGGAUUUGUAUGAGAGCAGCUCAGGGUAUAAAUAUGACUUCAGGAAAUAGAGAUUCGGACUCAAACAUGGAUAAAAUAAGCAUGACAGGAGACUUAGCGAGGGUGCAGAGAGAGCUCUCAGGAGUUUUAUUAGAAGAGACAGGAGGACUGGAAAUCAAUCGGGCAGGGUAACAUAAUGUCAUUGGUUGCUCAGUGGUUUAAACUUCCAGAAAUAUUGUACUAAUAA